rnacentral:rRNA from 1 species
CCAGACUCCUACGGGAGGCAGCAGUGAGGAAUAUUGGUCAAUGGGCGCGAGCCUGAACCAGCCAAGUCGCGUGAGGGAUGACGGCCCUACGGGUUGUAAACCUCUUUUGUCGGGGAGCAAAUUCCGUUACGUGUAACGGAGUCGAGAGUACCCGAAGAAAAAGCAUCGGCUAACUCCGUGCCAGCAGCCGCGGUAAUACGGAGGAUGCGAGCGUUAUCCGGAUUUAUUGGGUUUAAAGGGUGCGUAGGCGGAAUGCCAAGUCAGCGGUAAAAUCGCGGGGCUCAACCUCGCUCCGCCGUUGAAACUGGCGUCCUUGAGUGGGCGAGAAGUAUGCGGAAUGCGUGGUGUAGCGGUGAAAUGCAUAGAUAUCACGCAGAACUCCGAUUGCGAAGGCAGCAUACCGGCGCCCAACUGACGCUGAAGCACGAAAGCGUGGGUAUCGAACAGGAUUAGAUACCCUAGUA